rnacentral:rRNA from 1 species
UACAGAGGUCCCGAGCGUUGUUCGGAUUCACUGGGCGUAAAGGGUGCGUAGGUGGCAGGGUAAGUCGGAUGUGAAAGCUCGGAGCUCAACUCCGAAAUGGCAUUGGAAACUACCCAGCUCGAGGGUUGGAGGAGGGACUGGAAUGCUUGGUGUAGCAGUGAAAUGCGUAGAUAUCAAGCGGAACACCAGUGGCGAAGGCGAGUCCCUGGACAACUCCUGACACUGAGGCACGAAAGCUAGGGGAGCAAACAGG